AGAUGGGUCUUUAUUACUUGAGUUUGGCAUUUUGGGUUGAUUUAUGUUUUCUAUUGAAUGUUUUCAGAAUUAAUCAAAUCUUCCCAAGUAGGAUUUGAAUCUACGACCUUCGGUUAACAGGCAACUGCUCUACCACUAAGCUAUUGAGGAACAAUAGGACUGUUAAAUUAUUUCUCAAAUUCAUUUACU